UACGUAGGGUGCGAGCGUUGUCCGGAAUUACUGGGCGUAAAGAGCUCGUAGGCGGUUUGUCGCGUCUGCUGUGAAAACUCGGGCUUAACCCCGGGCCUGCAGUGGGUACGGGCAGACUAGAGUGCGGUAGGGGAGACUGGAAUUCCUGGUGUAGCGGUGAAAUGCGCAGAUAUCAGGAGGAACACCGGUGGCGAAGGCGGGACUCUGGGCAGUGGCUGACGCUGAGGCGCGACAGCGUGGGGAGCAAACAGG
rnacentral:rRNA from 1 species